GACGAACGCUGGCGGCGUGCCUAAUACAUGCAAGUCGAACGAAGCUUUCUUUCACCGAAUGCUUGCAUUCACCGAAAGAAGCUUAGUGGCGAACGGGUGAGUAACACGUAGGCAACCUGCCCAAAAGAGGGGGAUAACACUUGGAAACAGGUGCUAAUACCGCAUAACCAUGAACACCGCAUGAUGUUCAUGUAAAAGACGGCUUUUGCUGUCACUUUGGAUGGGCCUGCGGCGUAUUAACUUGUUGGUGGGGUAACGGCCUACCAAGGUGAUGAUACGUAGCCGAACUGAGAGGUUGAUCGGCCACAUUGGGACUGAGACACGGCCCAAACUCCUACGGGAGGCAGCAGUAGGGAAUCUUCCAC
rnacentral:rRNA from 1 species